GUUUCCCAGUCACGAUAUGGCGUUGAUUGAAAUAUAAUUUUCAGCACUCACCUUUCGCAAUUUCAAAUUGCAAUUGCCCCAUCAGGAGAAAGAAAAAGUCAAUGCGUGAAAAUUAUAUUUCAAUCAACCCAUGAGUGGCAGCAAAAACAAUUUGAAAUAGAAAAGACCCAGAAGCCCAAAUACGAAGCCAAGCAUAAUGCAUGGCAACACAUAAAAAAGGAACUCGACAAAGAGCUUCGUCGCGCAUAUCGCAACAACGAAUCGACCGAGGAGAUCGAACAGCGACAGAUAGAACACUUCGAACAAGCACCUGCUGCCUGGACUGCAACCCGAACGAUCUUUGAAGACACCACGAUUGAAGCCUUAGCACAGGGACUUCAUAAAGGAGGAGGCUCUGGAAUACUGCUAUCUGAUGAGUUUGGUCAGUUUGCGAAGAGCCAAGCGGCAAACAAAAUCCCAACCCUAAAUUGCUUCUGGGACGGAAGACAGGUACAUGUUGACAGAAAAAACUCCGACAGCUUUACGCUUGCCGCCCCAAAGCUGUCACUCUACCAAUUAUCGCAACCAGAAAAACAACAAAGUCCAUUAUAACAACGGGCGGAGAAGGACACCGCCGGAAGUGGUUGAAAAGGUCAGGCAGGUGAGGAAAGAGGAAAAACUCACGUACCGGGAUUUGAGCGCCAGGUUUAAUAUAAACCGGUCAACAAUCCAGAGGAUAUUGCUGCACAAGUGCGGGUAUUAAAAGACCAAGGGAGGGGUGAAGUAUGACCAAGGAUAAGCCAAAAUUUUACACUGAUUAUAAAAUAGUUCAAUUAUGCCAAUUAAGUAGGAGAGUAGAUGCUGUUUAUAAAUAUAAAGCCUCUAAGUCAGGAAAAGUGUGUCCGUACCGGAAACCAACUCAGGUGGGAAGGUAGAGAAUACUAAGGCGCUUGAGAGAACCGUGGUUAAGGAACUUAGCAUAUUGCUGCCGUAACUUCGGGAGAAGGCAGGCCUACUGUAGGUGUAAGUCCUCGCGACUGAAGCCGAGGUAGGUUGCAGAUAGCAGGGGGUAGCGACUGUUUAGCAAAAACACAGGACUCUGCUAACACGUAAGUGGAUGUAUAGGGUCUGACGCCUGCCCAGUGCCGGAAGGUUAAGGGGAUCUGUCAUUCCGUGAGGAAGAAGCAUUGAACCGAAGCCCCGGUGAACGGCGGCCGUAACUAUAACGGUCCUAAGGUAGCGAAAUUCCUUGUCAGGUAAGUUCUGACCCGCACGAAAGGCGUAACGACUUGGGCGCUGUCUCGGCGAGGGACUCGGUGAAAUUGGAAUGGCUGUGAAGAUACGGCCUACUCAUACCAGGACAGAAAGACCCCAUGGAGCUUUACUGUAGCUUGCCAUUGAAUUUGGGUUGCUUAUGUGCAGGAUAGGUGGGAGGCAGAGAAGCGUUUUCGUCAGGAGACGUGGAGCCGUCGGUGAGAUACCACUCUUAAGUAAUCUAAGUUCUAACUUUGUACCGUAAUCCGGGCAGAGGACAGUGGCUGGUAGGCAGUUUGACUGGGGCGGUCUCCUCCCAAAGUGUAACGGAGGAGUUCGAAGGUACGCUAGGUACGGUCGGACAUCGUGCUAAUAGUGCAAUGGCAUAAGCGUGCUUAACUGCGAGACUGAC
rnacentral:rRNA from 1 species